rnacentral:rRNA from 1 species
ACGUAGGGUGCGAGCGUUAAUCGGAAUUACUGGGCGUAAAGCGUGCGCAGGCGGUUUGCUAAGACAGGUGUGAAAGCCCCGGGCUUAACCUGGGAACUGCACUUGAGACUGGCAGGCUAGAAUGCAGUAGAGGGAGGUGGAAUUCCCGGUGUAGCAGUGAAAUGCGUAGAGAUCUGGAGGAACACCGGUGGCGAAGGCAGCCCCCUGGACUGAUACUGACGCUCAUGCACGAAAGCGUGGGGAGCAAACAG